UACGGAGGAUCCAAGCGUUAUCCGGAUUUAUUGGGCGUAAAGCGAGCGCAGGUGGUUUAUUAAGUCUGGUGUAAAAGGCAGUGGCUCAACCAUUGUAUGCAUUGGAAACUGGUAGACUUGAGUGCAGGAGAGGAGAGUGGAAUUCCAUGUGUAGCGGUGAAAUGCGUAGAUAUAUGGAGGAACACCGGUGGCGAAAGCGGCUCUCUGGCCUGUAACUGACACUGAGGCUCGAAAGCGUGGGGAGCAAACAGG
rnacentral:rRNA from 1 species